UACGGGGGGGGCAAGCGUUGUUCGGAAUUACUGGGCGUAAAGGGCUCGUAGGUGGCCAACUAAGUCAGACGUGAAAUCCCUCGGCUUAACCGGGGAACUGCGUCUGAUACUGGAUGGCUUGAGUUCGGGAGGGGCGAGUGGAAUUCCUGGUGUAGCGGUGAAAUGCGCAGAUAUCAGGAGGAACACCAAUGGCGAAGGCAGCUCGCUGGAACGGUACUGACGCUGAGGCGCGAAAGCGUGGGGAGCAAACAGG
rnacentral:rRNA from 1 species